AUAGAGCAGUUGAGGGUCUAGAGGCAUCCACUCAAAACUAGAUCCGUCUGUUCUUGUAUCUUGUUGAUUUCAAUGAAUUAAAUUUUUUGCUAUGUUCUUGUUAGUAUUUUGUUGAAUUGAUUUCAUUAUUUUUAUUUUUUUGAAAUAUAAAAUUUAGGUUUGGAUUUAUAAGCAGAGAUUGUGUGUAUCGGAAUUUUGCUUAUUUCUUGCAAUUUAAUCCGAAAGAUUUCUCUGCGAGAUUGAUUUUGGUGAAGGUGGGCAGUUGAGUUUCAUAAUAAUCUAUUGAUUCAAUCAACAAUCAUUUUCUCCAUAUUUCUUGAACUUUUCUGAUUUAUUUUAGUCUUGUUCUUUGAGUUGUUCUUAAACUGGAUCUCCUUUCCCGAGUGCUUGUUCUAAUACACAACUUUACUUGCCGGAAUACUCUAAUCGGAGAAUACAUCAGAAAGUACGUCAACGGCGGAAUCUGAACAAUUUUCUAGAUUAGGUUCUUUGUUAAUUUGGUUGUGUAGCAUAGAGUAAAUGUUCUGAGGUUCGAGUUAAAUCGGUAGCAUGGAUCGGAGUCAAAUCACCUUGUCAAGCCUUGUGCUGCUUUGAGCAUGAUUGAAUAUUUGGAUUGGUAGGGAAGCAGAGAUUGUGUGUAUCAGAAUUUUGCUUAAUUCUUGCAAUUUAAUCUGAAAGAUUUCUCUGCGAAAUUGAUUUAUCGGUGAAGGUGGGCAGUUGGGUGUCAUAAAUUAAUUGAUUCAAUCAACAAUCAUUUUCUCCACAUUUUUAAUCCUCCACUGAUUGUGUAUUUGUUUUAAGAUUUUAGGCCAAAAGUUAGUAUUGCUGAUUGUAUUAUCUGAUAAUUUGUGCUGGUAAAUGCUAAAUUUCAUGUGGUGUUGAUUGAGAACUGUUUCUAAUUGAACAAUAUAUUGUGAAACUAUGGUUGGGUUACAGAUGUCAUUGUAGGGAAAAACCUUCAAACAUUAUUUUGUCCUUUUAGGAAGUAGAUUAUAAAUUUAUUUCAAGGAAUCCAAGUAAUGGUUGUUUUAUCUUCUUCCCUUUGACAUUCAAAGAAAAGUUUAAAAGAUCAAACAUGAGUGAAGAUGAUAUGUAGGGGUACGAGAAUAAUCUAUUUAGCUGAUUCUUCAUACUCAGCUACAUCAUCUUUACUCCUUUUUGAAUAAUCUAUUUUGAUACUAACAUGUUUGGCCUGUGCAAUUGUUUGAUUGAAAACUCAAAGCGAAUGUCCUUAUGAAAUAUGAAUGUCCAAAUUCUUUACAAAAUAUUUAUGUAAUUUUCCGGGAAAAGUCCGUCGAAACAUUUAUUUAGGUUAUUUUGGAUAGUGGAUUGUAAUCUAAUUCGAGUAAUCAAGUAAUGUUUGGACGGACAUAUUCUUGGAUUAUUAUGUAAAUACUUCGAAAAGAAAUCAAUUUUUUUGACGUAAAUAUCCAAUGUUUAUAUGAUUUUCAUGGCAUUAUGGCUUUCUUAGUUCUCUAUCCUGAAGGCUAUAAUAUUAUUGUUUGUAAAUGUAGAGUGUCCGGAGAUCAUCUCAGAUACUUCUUAUCCACAAAGCAGUUUGUGACAAUAUAACAAGACCUUUAUGAAAUUUGAAUGUUGGGAUUCUUUUAAAAGUAUAUAUGUAAUUUUCAGGGAAAGUCCGAUUAGGUUUUUUUGGCAAGUUGUUUAUUAUCUGCUUUUCAUAAAAUCAAGUAAUGUUGGGAUGGUUAUUUUCUCGGAAUACUAUGUAAAUACUCCGUAAAGAAAUGUCUAAAAUUAUUAAGCAGCUAUGCCUAUCUUUUACUGAUUCAAUGUUUCUUGAUCUUUUGUUUUUUGAGUUUGUUUUGGUGAUAGUGCUGUUCUAGAUAUAGAGCUGGAUUCAGGGAUUUUGCUUUACAAAUGGGGAAUUAGUUGUCUUACCAGUAACCAAUUACAAAUGGCAAUUAGUUUUCUUGAAUAUCCUAGCAGGGGCUUGAUUUUUCUGUGUGUGAUUGUUUGGGAACUAAUGAAAUAUAUAGCCACUAGCCCCCGUAAUGGGGAAAAGAUUGAUGGAGUGUUUGGGCAAUUGUAUCCUGGAAGUUAAAUAAUGUUAGGAAGGUUGUAUUUCUCGGAAUACCAAGUAAAAUAUUUUGAAAGGGUAGUAUUGAAGUUUAAAUUUUGUGAUUGAUGGAAAUGAGAUUAAUAUAAAAUUUUCUAGUAAUUUAGAAAAUCCUAGUAGGUGUGUGAUUCUCCCUAGUGUGAUACAUGUGCUUGUUUGGGAACUACUAAAUAUAGCCACUAACUACAGUGAGUAGAAAACAUUUGUUUGGUGCUUUAGGUGGAAUUAUUUGGGCUUUGAAAUUUGUUUGUUUGAUCCUUAGGACCACCAGUCUGAUGUAAGUUUGUACUGAAAUGAGACAAUUUAAGUUUUCUAGAAAAUCCCAGUAGUUGGGUAAUUUUCCAUAGUGUGAUACAUGUAUAUAGCCUACAGUGAGUAGAGUGGAAAACAUUUAGUUGGUGCAGGUAGUGCUUUAGGUGGAAAUAUUUGGGCUGUGAAAUUUGUUUUAAUGAGGACUGAGAGAUUAAACUAGAACUGUUAUAGAAAGAUUUGUAUGUUGGGAAAAGGCCGUUAAAACAUUUAUUUAAAUAAAUACUUUGAAAAGACAAUUUUGGAGAUGUUUGUAUUCUUGAUUUUAAAACAGUCAAGGGAAAACAUAUUUGAACCCAUGGAGCCCUUAACACCACACCAGUCCUACAAUCAGCACUUUCUGAUGAUAAUGUAAAAAUCUUAUGUGCCUAAAAACUCCACAUGAAAAUGUAUUGGAGCAAGAGAAUGGCUAAUGCAAUCGAGGGGGCACUAGAUAGUAACAACUGAUGCCCUUUGCAUAGGCAAAACAGUAUACCCAGGUAGGGUUGAUGCCAUGUGUCAUUAUAGUGAUUCUGACAGAGAAUUUUUUUUUUCGUGCAGUUUUUUGUUAUCUUUAACUCAUUAGUGAAAAAAUUAUUCUUUGUUCGUUUUUU